rnacentral:rRNA from 1 species
GAUGAACGCUGGCGGCGUGCUUAACACAUGCAAGUCGAACGAUGAAGCCCAGCUUGCUGGGUGGAUUAGUGGCGAACGGGUGAGUAACACGUGAGUAACCUGCCCUUAACUCUGGGAUAAGCCUGGGAAACUGGGUCUAAUACCGGAUAGGAGCGUCCACCGCAUGGUGGGUGUUGGAAAGAUUUAUCGGUUUUGGAUGGACUCGCGGCCUAUCAGCUUGUUGGUGAGGUAAUGGCUCACCAAGGCGACGACGGGUAGCCGGCCUGAGAGGGUGACCGGCCACACUGGGACUGAGACACGGCCCAGACUCCUACGGGAGGCAGCAGUGGGGAAUAUUGCACAAUGGGCGCAAGCCUGGUGCAGCGACGCCGCGUGAGGGAUGACGGCCUUCGGGUUGUAAACCUCUUUCAGUAGGGAAGAAGCGAAAGUGACGGUACCUGCAGAAGAAGCACCGGCUAACUACGUG